AUUGAACGCUGGCGGCAGGCUUAACACAUGCAAGUCGAGCGGAGAUGAGGUGCUUGCACCUUAUCUUAGCGGCGGACGGGUGAGUAAUGCUUAGGAAUCUGCCUAUUAGUGGGGGACAACAUUCCGAAAGGAAUGCUAAUACCGCAUACGUCCUACGGGAGAAAGCAGGGGAUUUUCGGACCUUGCGCUAAUAGAUGAGCCUAAGUCGGAUUAGCUAGUUGGUGGGGUAAAGGCCUACAAAGGCGACGAUCUGUAGCGGGUCUGAGAGGAUGAUCCGCCAAACUGGGACUGAGACACGGCCCAGACUCCUACGGGAGGCAGCAGUGGGGAAUAUUGGACAAUGGGGGAACCCUGAUCCAGCCAUGCCGCGUGUGUGAAGAAGGCCUUAUGGUUGUAAAGCACUUUAAGCGAGGAGGAGGCUACUGAGACUAAUACUCUUGGAUAGUGGACGUUACUCGCAGAAUAAGCACCGGCUAACUCUGUGCCAGCCGCCGCCGUAACAC
rnacentral:rRNA from 1 species